GGCUGUGUGGUCUAGUGGUAUGAUUCUCGCUUCGGGUGCGAGAGGUUUCGAGAUCGAUUUUCGACUCAGCCC
rnacentral:tRNA from 1 species